GACGAACGCUGGCGGCGUGCCUAAUACAUGCAAGUAGGACGAGUUGCGAACGGGUGAGUAACGCGUGGUAACCUACCUAUUAGAGCGGGAUAACUAUUGGAAACGAUAGCUAAUACCCCCUACUAGUAGUUGGACCUGCGUUGUAUUAGCUAGUAGGUCGGGUAAUGGCCUACCUAGGCAACGAUACAUAGCUGGUCUGAGAGGAUGACCAGCCACACUGGAACGGAGACACGGUCCAGACUCCUACGGGAGGCAGCAGUGGGGAAUAUUGCACAAUGGGCGCAAGCCUGAUGCAGCCAUGCCGCGUGUAUGAAGAAGGCCUUCGGGUUGUAAAGUACUUUCAGCGGGGAGGCGUUACCCGCAGAAGAAGCACCGGCUAACUCCGUGCCAGCCGCCGCGGUAAUAC
rnacentral:rRNA from 1 species